rnacentral:tRNA from 1 species
AGUGUCCCGGCCCGGCUGAUCAUUCCGCACCCGCCCCAGCGGUUCCUGCCGACACGACGGAGGCAUCUGCUCAUAAUCCGUGAGUCGUGGGUUCAAGUCCCACCCGCCCUACCA